rnacentral:rRNA from 1 species
GGGAACCUCACCCGGCCCGGACACCGCGAGGAUUGACAGACUGAGAGCUCUUUCUCGAUUCGGUGGGUGGUGGUGCAUGGCCGUUCUUAGUUGGUGGAGCGAUCUGUCUGGUUAAUUCCGAUAACGAACGAGACCCCAACCUGCUAACUAGCCCUCGGGUCCUGCUUCUGUUGGGCCCGACGGAAUGAUUCGCUUCUUAGAGGGACUCGCGGCGCCUAGCCGCACGAAGGGGGCAAUAA